rnacentral:misc_RNA from 1 species
GCAUAUGACUACUGGCAGGAUCAACCAGGUAGCAUUCCUUAUCGACAUCGAGACCCGUAUGAGCCAAGCCACGAGGACUCGUUCAACACGUGCACAAUAGUCGUUCGCACGAAGCGUCGGACGCUCGAUUUGGGGCAAAACAAGGUCAAAGACCUUGUACCCGCUCAAUGUUCCGUAUCCGAAAGACCACGCACAACAUCAUGGCCCAACAUCCCAAACACACAUAAGUGGAAUAGGAAGUGGAACACGAUGCGUGCUACCAAGUCCACCCAACGCCGCAUCCCCAAGGGGUACAACACUAGAUGGAUGAUCAAAGAUUCCAACAAACGAAUGCCCUGAACGUAGGAAUUCAGCACAGGAAACCAAAACCGGACGAGACAUGCUCAUUCCAACAACUGAAGAGGGAUGCACGACACGUUGUCGCUGCUCAAGCAAGGAUCCAACGUGCCCAUACAAACCAAUCACCACUCA